rnacentral:ncRNA from 1 species
UCUUUGCUUUUUAAAAGUUUUCAUCCUUUGAAGUUCAGCUGGAGAGCUGAAGCUGUAACCCAGUGGUAGAGCACUUGCCUAGCAUGUGUGAGACCCUGGGUCCGAUCACCAAAACAGAAAAAAAGAGGGGCAGGCUUUGGUGACUCUAAAUAACCUCUGGCUGUUCACAGGCCCCCUGUGGCAGCAAUGACCCAUUUGAACGGCUGCCCUAUCAACUGUCAAUGGUAGUAGCCAUGCCGACCUUAGUGACCACAGGUGACAGAGAAUCAGGGUUCAAUUCCAGAGAGGGAGCCUGAGAAAUAGCUACUACAUCCAAGGAAGGCAGCAGGUACACAAAUUACCCACUCCCCACCUGGGGAGGUAGUGAUGAAAAAUAACAAUACAGGACUCUUUCAAGGCCCUCUAAUUGGAAUGAGUCCACUUUAAAUCCUUUAACAGGGAUCCAUUGGAGGAAAAUCUGGUCCCAGCAGCCGUAGUAACUCCAGCUCCAAU